CAGUGACCACAGUGUCGUGGCUCUGCCAACCCCGCGAACUUAUACUAUUUACGUUGCCUCGGCGGGCCCCCCGCCGCAGGCCCACGCAUAACGCUCUGACAAGCUCUGCGCUCCUUCUGAACUAGAAACUUUAAACGAGUAA
rnacentral:misc_RNA from 1 species